GCUUAACACAUGCAAGUCGAACGGAAAGGCCCUGCUUUUGUGGGGUGCUCGAGUGGCGAACGGGUGAGUAACACGUGAGUAACCUGCCCUUGACUUUGGGAUAACUUCAGGAAACUGGGGCUAAUACCGGAUAGGAGCUCCUGCUGCAUGGUGGGGGUUGGAAAGUUUCGGCGGUUGGGGAUGGACUCGCGGCUUAUCAGCUUGUUGGUGGGGUAGUGGCUUACCAAGGCUUUGACGGGUAGCCGGCCUGAGAGGGUGACCGGCCACAUUGGGACUGAGAUACGGCCCAGACUCCUACGGGAGGCAGCAGUGGGGAAUAUUGCACAAUGGGCGGAAGCCUGAUGCAGCAACGCCGCGUGCGGGAUGACGGCCUUCGGGUUGUAAACCGCUUUCGCCUGUGACGAAGCGUGAGUGACGGUAAUGGGUAAAGAAGCACCGGCUAACUACGUGCCAGCAGCCGCGGUGAUACGUAGGGUGCGAGCGUUGUCCGGAUUUAUUGGGCGUAAAGGGCUCGUAGGUGGUUGAUCGCGUCGGAAGUGUAAUCUUGGGGCUUAACCCUGAGCGUGCUUUCGAUACGGGUUGACUUGAGGAAGGUAGGGGAGAAUGGAAUUCCUGGUGGAGCGGUGGAAUGCGCAGAUAUCAGGAGGAACACCAGUGGCGAAGGCGGUUCUCUGGGCCUUUCCUGACGCUGAGGAGCGAAAGCGUGGGGAGCGAACAGGCUUAGAUACCCUGGUAGUCCACGCUGUAAACGGUGGGUACUAGGUGUGGGGUCCAUUCCACGGGUUCCGUGCCGUAGCUAACGCUUUAAGUACCCCGCCUGGGGAGUACGGCCGCAAGGCUAAAACUCAAAGGAAUUGACGGGGCCCCGCACAAGCGGCGGAGCAUGCGGAUUAAUUCGAUGCAACGCGUAGAACCUUACCUGGGUUUGACAUGGAUCGGGAGUGCUCAGAGAUGGGUGUGCCUCUUUUGGGGUCGGUUCACAGGUGGUGCAUGGCUGUCGUCAGCUCGUGUCGUGAGAUGUUGGGUUAAGUCCCGCAACGAGCGCAACCCUUGUUCACUGUUGCCAGCACGCUAUGGUGGGGACUCAGUGGAGACCGCCGGGGUCAACUCGGAGGAAGGUGGGGAUGACGUCAAGUCAUCAUGCCCCUUAUGUCCAGGGCUUCACGCAUGCUACAAUGGCUGGUACAGAGAGUGGCGAGCCUGUGAGGGUGAGCGAAUCUCGGAAAGCCGGUCUCAGUUCGGAUUGGGGUCUGCAACUCGACCUCAUGAAGUCGGAGUCGCUAGUAAUCGCAGAUCAGCAACGCUGCGGUGAAUACGUUCCCGGGGCUUGUACACACCGCCCGUCAAGUCAUGAAAGUUGGUAACACCCGAAGCCGGUGGCCUAACCGUUGUGGGGGAGCCGUCGAAGGUGGGACUGGUGAUUAGGACUAAGU
rnacentral:rRNA from 1 species